rnacentral:rRNA from 1 species
GAUGAACGCUGGCGGCGUGCCUAAUACAUGCAAGUCGAGCGAACAGAUGAGGAGCUUGCUCCUCUGACGUUAGCGGCGGACGGGUGAGUAACACGUGGAUAACCUACCUAUAAGACUGGGAUAACUUCGGGAAACCUGAGCUAAUACCGGAUAAUAUAUUGAACCGCAUGGUUCAAUAGUGAAAGACGGUUUUGCUGUCACUUAUAGAUGGAUCCGCGCCGCAUUAGCUAGUUGGUAAGGUAACGGCUUACCAAGGCAACGAUGCGUAGCCGACCUGAGAGGGUGAUCAGCCACACUGGAACUGAGACACGGUCCAGACUCCUACGGGAGGCAGCAGUAGGGAAUCUUCCGCAAUGGGCGAAAGCCUGACGGAGCAACGCCGCGUGAGUGAUGAAGGUCUUCGGAUCGUAAAACUCUGUUAUUAGGGAAGAACAAAUGUGUAAGUAACUAUGCACGUCUUGACGGUACCUAAUCAGAAAGCCACGGCUAACUACGUG